rnacentral:rRNA from 1 species
ACGAACGCUGGCGGCGUGCUUAACACAUGCACGUCGAACGGAAAGGCCCUGCUUUUGUGGGGUGCUCGAGUGGCGAACGGGUGAGUAACACGUGAGUGACCUGCCCUUGACUUUGGGAUAACUUCAGGAAACUGGGGCUAAUACCGGAUAGGAGCUCCUGCUGCAUGGUGGGGGUUGGAAAGUUUCGGCGGUUGGGGAUGGACUCGCGGCUUAUCAGCUUGUUGGUGGGGUAGUGGCUUACCAAGGCUUUGACGGGUAGCCGGCCUGAGAGGGUGACCGGCCACAUUGGGACUGAGAUACGGCCCAGACUCCUACGGGAGGCAGCAGUGGGGAAUAUUGCACAAUGGGCGGAAGCCUGAUGCAGCAACGCCGCGUGCGGGAUGACGGCCUUCGGGUUGUAAACCGCUUUCGCCUGUGACGAAGCGUGAGUGACGGUAAUGGGUAAAGAAGCACCGGCUAACUACGUG